rnacentral:rRNA from 1 species
GACGUAGGGCGCGAGCGUUGUCCGGAUUUAUUGGGCGUAAAGAGCUCGUAGGCGGUCUGUUGCGUCUGCUGUGAAAACCCGGGGCUUAACCCCUGGCUUGCAGUGGAUACGGACAGACUAGAGGUAGGUAGGGGAGAAUGGAAUUCCCGGUGUAGCGGUGAAAUGCGCAGAUAUCGGGAGGAACACCGGUGGCGAAGGCGGUUCUCUGGGCCUUACCUGACGCUGAGGAGCGAAAGCGUGGGGAGCGAACAGG